rnacentral:sRNA from 1 species
GGAAAGGAAGAGGUCACCACCCUAGCACCCCAGUACAGAGCAACUGGGUGGAGCCAAAUCAGUUUAUUCAGACAUUUUUGUUUUCACAGGAAGGGAAUUCUUUUGGGAAGGGGCCCUCAGUGAGAACUCCUGUACUGGAUAACAAAAUACCACAGGUCAGACUGAGGCACAUAGUAUCUUCCAAUUAAAUUGGUUUCAACUUUUUAUAUGAAGCAUCUAAUUUUUAUCCGGGGAAUGAUUCAGAUUUUAAUCUUUUCUAAAGAUUAGUUUUCUACCCUGGUUUCAAUUUCAAUGGGAUUUGCCCUACCUUUUCCUCCUGACCUAUGCCAGGUAUGGAGGAGAAAGCAGCACACACACACACACACACACACACACACACAUACAUACAUACAUAUAUAUGUGUGUGUAUGCAUAUGUAUAUAUACACACACAUAUCAGUAGCACGGAGCAGGUCCUUGUCCCUAUAUUCAGCUGAUUCAGACAUUAAUUAAUUACAUAACCAGACAAGUGUGCUUGACUUUGUCUCCUUGUGCCCAUGGACAUCAAGAAAGUGCAACCCUAUUGCUUGGCACAACCCAUCUAGACCAAGGCCCCUCUGUAUUUCCUCCAUGAAAUAUCUUCCACGAAAAUUUAAAAUGUCCAUCCUGCUUUCUAUUACUAAUAAAAACAGCCUACCUUGUACAAUUAAACAGUCGAAUCUGACUACAUGCUGAUUUUAUUGGCAGUGACUGUGGCAAAUUAAAAUGCCUAUACAGGGACAUUAACUUGUGAGUUCCCAUUGUUUUUGGGGCAUUUAAACUCUGGUUUACACGAAUGUUCCUAAACUCUGGAAAAGCCUAUUUUUUACUUCUCUUAGGUUAAAGUUGCCUUAAUCUUUAAAAAACACCCCCCCCCCAAAUGUCAAUGAGGGAAAUUUACUUUCCAAGUGUAGAGAGGGCCUGGGCAGACAACCCUCACUGCUACUGGGGUGACAGGGUUACCUCAAACUGCUCUUGGUUUUCAGUUUCAAAAGAGUCCUGGAUGUUGUGUUUCAUGUAGGAGGGGAGUUCAGAUAUCUCUUAGGAAUCUGGUGAAAUCGUUAAUUGCUUAGAAAGCCCUCACCUGUGACAGUUACUCAGCCUGUGGGACCCUCCCUCACGUAUACAGUGGAGUUAAAAAACAAACUAUGCUAUUGUUGCCCUCACGUAGGCAAAGACAGAAAUAUUUAGAGUUGGCUCUGGCUAGCGAUUCUUUCAAGCUGCCCCGUUUUCCGUGGAGUCCACUGGCGGACCAAAUAUUAAGGCCAGAAGAGGAAGAUCUUUCUGAGUACGAAGAUGGUUUUGAAGGCCCAGGCGCUGGCCGCCGACACUGUACGGUCUCAUGGCUUUCAGAAGGCGACUAGGGCUAAAGUCGCGCCGCAAGCGGCGAGGGGGCGCUGUGGCCCGCGCCUGCCGGCUUAGGCCCAGCUGAGGAAACCUGGCGCUGCCACCGUGCCACCGACGCGUGGCUGACGCCCGGCCAGUGGCCAGAUCUGUCCUUUCCACGCCUGUUUUAUUCGGAAAAGAAGGAAAACAAUAAGAGCAGGCCAUUUCAAUAAAGCUAGACCUCUCAUCCUGGUCAGCCAUCAAUUUGGCUAACUUGUCUUUCCUGGUUUUCGUUAGUGGGCAGCAUGAGUUCCCAGUCUCCGUUAGAAGCCCGCUUCAGACAGGCUUCCUGAAGUUUCUCUUCCGCACAGAGUCCGGACAGUUCUCCACAUCAGGCCAUUCGGUCACUGUUCUCAUCUCUAUCUGCCGGUGUUCUGCUUCUGUCGCUCCUCUUAUCUCCCAACUACGAUUCUGCCGCCCGCGGUCCACCCGUGUUCUGGGAAAGGCGUCCACGAGACCCGGCCCAGGGUUUUGCGCCUCGCCAGGAGGUAGCCGCGCUGGCCAAAUCUGGGAGUCCACGGCGCCGCCAGGAGGGAGCGCAGCGCGCGCAGCCUGAGAACCGGGCAAAGACUGGACUAGGGACGUAGUCUUCCCUGGGACUGUGCUAGUUUACUGUCCCAGAACUGGUGAGGGAGUUAAAAGGGGACCCAUUUCAGCACGGGCUGAGAGCAGCUAAGCAACUUCACAGUCUGCUCCCCAGGCGCAGCUCUCUGGCCUAAAGGAGCUGAGCUCGCGUUCUGGGGCUUGCUUACUCUUGGUCUUGGAAUACACAUUCCCCCAACCCCAGGUAGCGGCUCUGGGCUGUGCGGCCAGGUUUGCAGCCGCUGGAGACUGCCAUUCAAGCCCGGCCCCAGGAGCAACCGCAAACCUGUCUGAGCCCGGGAAGCGUCUUUGCUGGAAGGAAAGCGAGACAAGAAAACCCGGUCCUUCUCUAAGUCUUUCUCCAAGAAAGCAGGUCCUGCAGUGUCUGCAUGGGGGUGGGCUUAAUUUCCAUCUGCCAUUUCUCACUGGUGUGCCCAAACACCUCUCCAGGACAUAGUUUAGGCAGCAGGUAACCAUGAACACAUCAUUUUCUCACGCUCUCUCAGAUUGCUCUUACAUACCGGGGAAUAUUAUAAUUUUUAAGAAAACGGAGGAAUGUGGGGAGGGGGGGGGACAAGGCAGGGAAUGCAGAUUCUAAUAAAACGCCCUGGGAGAAGGGUAUUGGUGCUGGCACAGAGUGGAUGAGGAUGCGGAGUCACGAACUCUGGAGAAGCACGGGGGGGGGGGGGCUGCACACACCUCCACACCUAGAAGAUCCUGAAAAUGACUGGGUCCACGGUGCUAGGGAAGGCCUCCAGACGGUGAGAUGCACUUCCUGCCUCCACCACAGAGCUCCAAGCACGACCCAGGGCAGAAGGUACCCCAACUAUCUAGCUCGAAAUGCUUCAAAGACUUGGGAGGGGCAUUUGGUGACACCUGAAAAAGCCAGAGGUAAGAGCUGCUCUCUGUCACCUUCACUGCACACUACAUGGGGAAUGGCACAUGGGUGCUGGGGAGGCUGUGGCACAGAGUAGCAGACCUGAGACCUACCAGUGGACAGCAGGAAGUGUUGCCCUGGAGAAGCCGCUCAGGUCAGGGGAGGAGGACAGAGGGACAGUGUUGAAGAUGGAAUUUUGAGACAAGUGGCAGGAUUUUGUGCUUCCGGACAGAGAAAGGGCUCUAUAGAGUCUGCGUGGGGCUGGGCUUAGUUUCCGCCUGCCAUUUCUCACUGGCGUGCUCAAACACCUCUCCAGGACAUAGUCUAGGCGGCAGGUAACCAAGAACACACCGUUUUCUCAUGCCUACUUCAGGCACAAGAUACCUGUGUAGGGCUCAGCUCUGUCAGUAGGGCUCUGUCCUGAAAGACACUCCUGGAUGGAGAAGGAACCAUUGCAGGACCCUAACAAUUCUUAGCUGGGAAGGGCUGUUGCAUGCGGAUUUAUUGCUCUGCAUUUUAAUUUUGUGUGAGCUAUUUUAUGUUUCUAAAACAUUUACAAUUAGGUACUGGCCUUACAAAGGAGCGCCAUAAGUGUGGAAGGACAGUGUGCUUCUUGGGGGAGGGGGUUGCUUGACUUUAAAAAAAAAACCUCUUAAACAUUUCAAUUCUGUAUCACUCUUUAUAAUAAAUACAGACAUAUUGAGUUUGCA